CAGCAGCCGCGGUAAUACGUAGGGUGCGAGCGUUAAUCGGAAUUACUGGGCGUAAAGCGUGCGCAGGCGGUUAUAUAAGACAGAUGUGAAAUCCCCGGGCUCAACCUGGGACCUGCAUUUGUGACUGUAUAGCUAGAGUACGGUAGAGGGGGAUGGAAUUCCGCGUGUAGCAGUGAAAUGCGUAGAUAUGCGGAGGAACACCGAUGGCGAAGGCAAUCCCCUGGACCUGUACUGACGCUCAUGCACGAAAGCGUGGGGAGCAAACAGGAUUAGAUACCCGGGUAGUCCCUGUCUCUUAUAC
rnacentral:rRNA from 1 species